CCUACGGGUGGCUGCAGUGGGGAAUAUUGGACAAUGGGCGAAAGCCUGAUCCAGCAAUGCCGCGUGAGUGAUGAAGGCCUUAGGGUUGUAAAGCUCUUUUACCAGGGAUGAUAAUGACAGUACCUGGAGAAUAAGCUCCGGCUAACUCCGUGCCCGCAGCCGCGGUAAUACGGAUGGAGCUAGCGCUGUUCGGAAUUACUGGGCGUAAAGCGCACGUAGGCGGUUUUUCAAGUCAGGGGUGAAAGCCCGGAGCUCAACUCCGGAAGUGCACUUGAAACUGGAGGACUAGAGUCUUGGAGUGGUGAGUGGAAUUCCGAGUGUAGAGGUGAAAUUCGUAGAUAUUCGGAAGAACACCAGUGGCGAAGGCGACUGACUGGACAAGUAUUGACGCUGAGGUGCGAAAGCGUGGGGAGCAAACAGGAUUAGAUACCCCUGUAGUC
rnacentral:rRNA from 1 species